rnacentral:rRNA from 1 species
CAGCCGCCGCGGUAAUACCGGCGGCCCGAGUGGCGGCCACUAUUAUUGGGCUUAAAGCGUCCGUAGCCGGGUUGGUUAGUCUCCCGGGAAAUCUGGCCGCUUAACGGUCAGAAUUCCGGGAGAUACUGCCAGCCUAGGGACCGGGAGAGGCCGAGGGUAUUCCCGGAGUAGGGGUGAAAUCCUAUAAUCCCGGGAGGACCACCUGUGGCGAAGGCGCUCGGCUGGAACGGGUCCGACGGUGAGGGACGAAGGCCAGGGGAGCAAACCGGAUUAGAUGCCCGGGUAGUCCUGGCUGUAAACGAUGCGGACUUUGUGUCGGACAAGCUACGAGCUUGUCCGGUGCCGGAGGGAAACCGUUAAGUCCGCCGCCUGGGGAGUACGGCCGCAAGGCUGAAACUUAAAGGAAUUGGCGGG